rnacentral:rRNA from 1 species
UACGUAGGGUGCGAGCGUUAAUCGGAAUUACUGGGCGUAAAGCGUGCGCAGGCUGUUCUGUAAGUCAGAUGUGAAAUCCCCGAGCUCAACUUGGGAACUGCGUUUGAAACUACAGGACUAGAAUAUGUCAGAGGGGGGUAGAAUUCCACGUGUAGCAGUGACAUGCGUAGAGAUGUGGAGGAAUACCAAUGGCGAAGGCAGCCCCCUGGGAUAAUAUUGACGCUCAUGCAACGAAAAGCGUGGGGGAGCAAACAGG